ACAUGGGUACCGGGGGUCCUCUAGAGAUUAGAGUUUGAUCCAUGGCUCAGGAUGAACGCUAGCGGCAGGCUUAACACAUGCAAGUCGAGAGGCAGCACGGGUAGCAAUACUUGGUGGCGACCGGCGCAAGGGUGCGUAACGCGUGAGCAACAUGCCCGUAUCAGGGGGAUAAUCCAUGGAAACGUAGUCUAAUACCCCAUAGUAAGUUUUUGGGGCAUCUCAAAGAUUUUAAAGCUUUGGUGGAUACGGAUUGGCUCGCGUGACAUUAGCUAGAUGGUAAGGUAACGGCUUACCAUGGCUACGAUGUCUAGGGGUUCUGAGAGGAAGGUCCCCCACACUGGAACUGAGACACGGUCCAGACUCCUACGGGAGGCAGCAGUGAGGAAUAUUGGACAAUGGAUGGAAAUCUGAUCCAGCCAUGCCGCGUGCAGGAAGACGGCCCUAUGGGUUGUAAACUGCUUUUGUAUGGGAGCAAUAAGGGCUACGUGUAGUCCGAUGAGAGUACCAUACGAAUAAGCACCGGCUAAUUCCGUGCCAGCAGCCGCGGUAAUACGGAGGGUGCAAGCGUUAUCCGGAUUUAUUGGGUUUAAAGGGUGCGUAGGCGGUUUGAUAAGUCAGCGGUGAAAUAUUUCAGCUUAACUGGAAGGGUGCCGUUGAUACUGUCGAGCUUGAAUUUAGUUGCUGUGGGUGGAAUGUGUGGUGUAGCGGUGAAAUGCAUAGAUAUCACACAGAAUAUCGAUUGCGAAGGCAGCUCACAAAGCUAAUAUUGACGCUGAUGCACGAAAGUGUGGGGAUCAAACAGGAUUAGAUACCCUGGUAGUCCACACUGUAAACGAUGAUAACUCGCUGUCGGCGAUACACCGUCGGUGGCCAAGCGAAAGCGAUAAGUUAUCCACCUGGGGAGUACGACCGCAAGGUUGAAACUCAAAGGAAUUGACGGGGGCCCGCACAAGCGGAGGAACAUGUGGUUUAAUUCGAUGAUACGCGAGGAACCUUACCCGGGCUCGAACGGUGCAUGAUAGAUCAGAGAUGGUUUAGUCCUUCGGGACAUGUAUCGAGGUGCUGCAUGGUUGUCGUCAGCUCGUGCCGUG
rnacentral:rRNA from 1 species